rnacentral:lncRNA from 1 species
GCUGGAGCUACUUGUGUCCUUUGAUCUCUCAGCAGCUGGAGAUCAUGAGACAUGGAUGAAACUGAAGACCAUUAUCUUAAGUGAAACAACUCAGACAAAUAUCAUGUGGAAACUCACUGGGCUGAUGAAUGCAGUCUUCCUGAUGUGAAUGGGAUUGAAGAGCUUGUCAAAAAACAUAAAGCCAACUUCACCCUUGUCACUGAACUGAGACUUUUCAACCAAACCUGUUACACAGAAAAGAAAAUACCGAAAGAAUAUUCAUCAAUCUGUAAAUAGUG